GACGAACGCUGGCGGCGUGCUUAACACAUGCAAGUCGAACGGAAAGGCCCUGCUUUUGUGGGGUGCUCGAGUGGCGAACGGGUGAGUAACACGUGAGUAACCUGCCCUUGACUUUGGGAUAACUUCAGGAAACUGGGGCUAAUACCGGAUAGGAGCUCCUGCUGCAUGGUGGGGGUUGGAAAGUUUCGGCGGUUGGGGAUGGACUCGCGGCUUAUCAGCUUGUUGGUGGGGUAGUGGCUUACCAAGGCUUUGACGGGUAGCCGGCCUGAGAGGGUGACCGGCCACAUUGGGACUGAGAUACGGCCCAGACUCCUACGGGAGGCAGCAGUGGGAAUAUUGCACAAUGGGCGGAAGCCUGAUGCAGCAACGCAGCGUGCGGGAUGACGGCCUUCGGGUUGUAAACCGCUUUCGCCUGUGACGAAGCGUGAGUGACGGUAAUGGGUAAAGAAGCACCGGCUAACUACGUG
rnacentral:rRNA from 1 species